CCGGUUCCAAAUAUUGUAGAAAGAAAACGGGCCGGGCCGGGCCGGGGCGUUGUCAAAUACGGGGCGGGGCGGGUCCUAAUCCUUGGAAAAACAGGGCCCCGAACCGACCCGUUUAUAAUAAUAAUGAACGGUCCAGAUUAAAUGAUACCCUAUCAUCUAAUCUUAAUCGUUAAUUCCUACCCUAGUCGAUGUCCCGUGUGUCUAGGUUUCCACUUCCAGAUUCAGUCACUCACUCCAAUCUCCAUCGUCUUCUCGAACUCCAUCUCUCUCCUCUCCUACCUGAGCACCGACGCCUGCUUGUGAACCUGCCAGGUAGCCGAUCUGGAUCACCAGAGCUUUGGCGAGGUUGAAGAUGUUCUGCUGGACGGCUUCCGCGCAGGCCAUGAGGCCGUGGACGAGUCAGACUCCAUUUUCCUGCGAGUCGACAAUGAGGGCUGGGCGGGUUGAUGAUGACUCGGCGGUGGCGGGGAGGGAGAUUGGUUGUUGUGGUUGUGGAAUAGAGGAGGCGGCGUGACGGUUGAAGAGGAGUUCGAACUUCGGAGGGAGAAGACCCGGAUGAGGAUUUGAAACGCUUUGGCUCCCACGACGAAGAAUCGAGGCGGGUUUGGGUGAACACGGCGUUUCCGGGGAUAGAUUUGAAGUCGUUGUAGCUGGAAGAAGAGUGUAGAGGGUGAAAAGGUUGGUAGUGAUGACAGAGAAGACCCAGAAAGUAUGGUGUUUAAUCAAAGCUUCUGCUUCUGCUUUUCCAUUGUUUUCCUCUUCCUUUUUCUGGGUCUUCCUGCUUCUUCUUCUUCGCCAACUUUCAUUUCAGAUGGUGGUAAAGUGACCCGUGGACUUUAUGAUUUCUGGGUAGUUUUGGAUUGAUCAGAAAGAACUCAGUAUCUCUUUUUCGUUGUUCGGAGAAUAUUGAGCGGCUUAUUAAUGGUAUCUAAGGUACUUCUGAUGAUCUCAUCCAUCUUGUUACCAUGGAGGCGGGUUUAAUUCUUCAAUUAGAGGUGCUCGUUAAAAUGCUUAGAUGUGUUGUUAAUGUCAGCCAACAAUUGGGAAAAACAGCUUCUGCUAUAUUUUAUGAAUCAUUAGUUAGUGCACCACUCGUUAUCUCAGCUGAGGAAAUUACUCAUCGCCUUUUGAAGAAUUUAGAAUCUGGAUAUGGUUCAACGGUAGCAAUGCUUCAUGUAUCAGAGCAUGGACCUGAUGUUGCUUUGGAGAGAAACCUGGCUGAUAAAAAAAAAUUGAGGAAAUUUUCUAUUGGCAUGCUGUUA